GCAGCGGGAGCAAGGAAAUUCCUCACAAAACAGCAAUGGUUUCGAAAAAAAGAAGCACAACAAAAAUAUUGAAUAAAUUCCCUUUUAAUUUAUUUGAUCAUUCCACAUUACGGAGCUAUGAAUUGCUCAAAUUUGAUAACAAGUACUCAAUUCAACUCAUUAUCGUCCUGCGCUCGGUUGGAGUUAACGUGUAACAGCUCCUUUGACGCCAAGCAGAAUUUGGAUCAAGCAGCCAAGAGAAAAGAAAAAUGCAAACCCGCCAGAGAAAAUAGCCUCCUCACCAGCAAUCAACAUCUGGAUGAGCAGAGAUUAACACCACACUAGACCAACAAUCAAGAAGUAAACAAUAUCCCAAUCAAGGAACCACCAAGACUCUAGUCAACACUGACAGGGCAAGCAACUAGUAUAUAAAAUGACAGCAAACCCCACUUCCUUCAAGCACUGAUGGUGUUACCUAGUUUGGUAAUGAAAUGUCUGCAAGAAAACAAGCUCAGAGAGCAACAAGGACCCCACAGAAAAUAUCCUCUUUUUCAUCCCAGGAAAAUAAAUCAAAUACUCAUUUAGGCGCAACACGAACAAUGCUACAAUGCACAAUGGUACAUAGCAUAGGAAGAGGAAAUCUGGAUUCAUGAUAGUGUAGCUUUCCCUUAUUGUUUACUCCAGAUGUACUAGAACUCUCAUAAUUUCCUGUACAAGCAGUUGCACUACUGUAUAUUGAAUACGAGUGGGAUUUGUUAUCUAGUGUGUCAGAGGGUUUUUUUUUAAUUGGGGAGAACAUUAGUAGAGUAUAGGAAUCUCAGAUAUAAAGACUAUCUGAAAAUUUGGGAGACUUCAUGAUGUAUAUAUUAUUCUGGAUCCUAUUUUAAGUGCCUACAUUCUUGACCAUAUAUACUCUGUUUUUCUGUUACUUCUAUAUAAUGUCCUCUGAAACUUCCCAUUUCUAAUUUUGGUAUAAAUUUCUAAUUUAAUUAGAGAAGUAAGCUACCUAUUUACAGGUUUUAACCCUAUCUAACUGAUAGUUUAGGAAAUCUUAAUCCAUUGCUACACAAUAUCUUUAGCUGGAUUAACUAAAAUAUAAUGGAAAUCUGUAAGUUUUCCACAACAAAGCAAUUAUUAUUCCUGACCCCACCAAUUUUUAAACAUAAAGUUUGCUCUGAUUUAUUUGAAAUAUGGGAAAUGUAUAUUUUUGAAGAUUUGUUACAUCUAAACGUAUUGCAAAUAAUUUACUCUGGAACUGUUUCACUGAAAAUGAAUUUGUGGCAAUAAAAGUUGAAAAAUA